rnacentral:rRNA from 1 species
CGGGGUGAGUAACACAUGAGCAACCUGCCUUUCAGAGGGGAAUAACGUUUGGAAACGAACGCUAAUACCGCAUAACAUUGGGAUAUGGCAUCAUGACCCAAUCAAAGAUUUAUCGCUGAAAGAUGGGCUCGCGCCCGAUUAGGUAGUUGGUGAGAUAAUAGCCCACCAAGCCGACGAUCGGUAGCCGGACUGAGAGGUUGAACGGCCACAUUGGGACUGAGGCACGGCCCAGACUCCUACGGAAGGCAGCAG